CAAGCAGUUUAUAGCAUCAAACUGGCUGUAGUUGCUUCUCAUAAGGAACACAUAAAUCUGGAGCAAUGGCUGAACAAAAAUCUGAGCACAUACAAGGAUACUUUUUUCUAGGAUUGCCUCAAGUUCUUAAAAGAAAUACCUUCUGCAGCAAUAAAUGAUGCAUCUGCGAAUCCUUUCCAACAUUCCAACUCUGUCAUGAAUCUUUAUCUAGAGACAAGUUCUACUCUUUUGAAGGUUUUUGCUUCCAAAAUUUCUUUUUCUAUUACCUAUACACAGCGUCAUAGAGAACUAUUAUGCAUAUUGUAGUUUACAUGAAUAUUUCACAGGUCCUUCAAGCCCAUUCUGGCCAGCUCAUCUCCCACCAACUUUCUGAGGAAUUGAGAGGGUUGCAGGCAUCAUCUGUGCAUGCUAAUCCAAGACUGCAAAAUGGUGGAGCUACAGAUUCAUCAACACAUGAUGCAUCAUAUCUAAUUAUUCACUGGCCUCUUCAGAUCAACAGAAAAUAAUCUUUUUUAGCAUCUCUGUCUAAAC